AAUGAAAUUGCUGGGUCAUAUGGUAACUCUAUGUUUUACUUUUUGAGGAACUACAAAUCUGUUUUCUAAAGUGGCUGCACCAUUUUACAUUCCUACCAGCAAA
rnacentral:pre_miRNA from 1 species